GUCAAAACUUGCCAUGGACCGCCGACUCCCUCUCCGAGGCCGCCGGCCACGGGCGCAUAGGAAAAAUAAGUGGCGUCCACAGGAUCAUAAGGGCCACGGGAUGUGCUCGGCAAAAGGCAAAGUAGGCUGUCUCCAUUAGGAUACCUGACGGUCGCAUUGUGUCUCUCGUCCGCGGGGUCCACGUAGGUAGAGAUGGAUGUGCCGUCGGCCAGGUAGAUCGUGCCGUAGCCGGUAAUUUGCAACCGCUCUGACACGCCGCCUCGAUACAAGAGGGCGCCCGUCGGAUCGUACAAGCCGCCCCGACAAGGUCGGCCAUUAUCAAACCGGCCCACAAAGGCGACCGAUCCAUCGCGACGGUAGAUCACCCCGCGGCUGUGCCAUGAGUCGCUCUCGGGACCGUAGCGCGUGAGCGCCUCGGGCGUGCGUGCGACACCGACCCCUGUGCGCUGACCGCGCUGCCAGUCGCCGUCAUAGAUCCGAUCCUGGGCGAUCAACAGGCCCCGACCAUGGGGCUCGCCCUUUGCGUGGUGGCCCUGAAAGUAGGACGGUUGGCCUGAGCGGUUCGACCACACGCUGGCCCAGCCGUCGACCCGACCGCAAGACCACUGGCCCGAGACUCUAUGGACAACCGUCGAGCGACCGCGCACGAUGAUGGCCGUGCCCCAGCCGUGCGGCUUGGCCUCGUCGUCCAGGUCGCCAAUGUAGAUCAUCUCGUGUGGCGACUUGUAGUAGGCAAAGCCAAAGGCGCUUGGGUCAGCGCGAAUGCGCCCGACGCGGCGCAGGGGUGUACCGGGAAAGCGUCCAAACAGGCCCUUGGGCGCCAGCAGUGAUGCGUAGGCCCAUCGGUGGUCGACGAGCGCCUCGGGCGGCCAGUGGUGGAGACACAAGGACAGACCACCGGCAAAAAGACUGGUCCACUCCCAAGAUGGAGUCGGCUGGUGGCGACCUAGAGGGUGAUCUGCGUCGGUAUGCCCAUCCUCGAGCCAAGGCGACACACACGAUAAAAUGUCGCCGCCUGCAUACGUCAUUGCAAUGUCGACGAGGCACAUAGUCUCGUGUCCGGGGGCCGAUCGACACGGCUGGAAAUCGCGCCAGUACAAGCGCUUCCAGAGCCGAUCGUCGAGGCAGACGGCGCGCGUACGAUGGUCCGCCCUCGCUAGAGCGACAAGCGCCACCACCGUGCAGUGUGUGGCAAUCUCAUAGACGACUUCGUCGGGCAGGUCCGACCAUGUGCAUCGAGUUUGCAUGCCGCGCGCGACUGUCCUGUUUGUACGACGAGUGCCAACGACGAUGCCGUGCGGGCUACGCGAUGUCGUGUGCGGGUUUUUUGACCGCACAACAUUGUCGGGCGACCCAUUUGCGUGUUGGUUUGCGCCACACACAGCAGAGGACCAAUCACUAUCGGAAAAAAAAAGAAUAAUGGCCUGUGGCAGAAAAAAAAGACUUGUCCACGCAAACUCUGUGAGCGACCUUGGGC
rnacentral:lncRNA from 1 species